CCAAGACUUUCCAACACGC
rnacentral:snRNA from 1 species